rnacentral:rRNA from 1 species
CGUAGGGGGCAAGCGUUGUCCGGAUUAUUGGGCGUAAAGAGCUCGUAGGCGGCUUAGUAAGUCGGGCGUGAAACCUCCAGGCUCAACCUGGAGACGCCACCCGAUACUGCUGUGGCUAGAGUCCGGUAGGGGAGCGUGGAAUUCCUGGUGUAGCGGUGAAAUGCGCAGAUAUCAGGAGGAACACCAGCGGCGAAGGCGGCGCUCUGGGCCGGUACUGACGCUGAGGAGCGAAAGCGUGGGGAGCAAACAGGAUUAGAUACCCUGGUAGUCCACGCCGUAAACGUUGGGCACUAGGUGUGAGUCGGUUAUCAACGCGAUCUGUGCCGUAACUAACGCAUUAAGUGCCCCGCCGUGGGGAGUACGGCCGCAAGGCUA